CACGGGUGAGUAACACGUAUCCAACCUGCCGUCUACUCUUGGCCAGCCUUCUGAAAGGAAGAUUAAUCCAGGAUGGGAUCAUGAGUUCACAUGUCCGCAUGAUUAAAGGUAUUUUCCGGUAGACGAUGGGGAUGCGUUCCAUUAGAUAGUAGGCGGGGUAACGGCCCACCUAGUCAACGAUGGAUAGGGGUUCUGAGAGGAAGGUCCCCCACAUUGGAACUGAGACACGGUCCAA
rnacentral:rRNA from 1 species